GGUUAAUAUUCCCGAACCCGAACUCGGAGAGUGCCCGUCCGGCGGCGGGAACGCGGCGUGCGCCUAGCAGCUCGUCCGUCAUCGAAGACGGCGGCCGGGCGGAGCAGCGGCAAUGCAAGCAAGCCCGGAGACGUUGCCGGGAGCCCCGAAGAGCACACAGUCUG